UACGAAGGGGGCUAGCGUUGCUCGGAAUUACUGGGCGUAAAGGGAGCGUAGGCGGACAGUUUAGUCAGUGGUGAAAGCCCAGGCUCAACCUUGGAAUUGCCAUUGAUACUGAUUGUCUUGAGUAUGGGAGAGGUGUGCGGAACUCCGAGUGUAGAGGUGAAAUUCGUAGAUAUUCGGAAGAACACCAGUGGCGAAGGCGGCACACUGGCCCAUUACUGACGCUGAGGCUCGAAAGCGUGGGGAGCGAACAGG
rnacentral:rRNA from 1 species